ACACAUGUAGCAUAACGGUAAUGCACCUCCCUGUUAAGGAGCCCCAUCAUGGUUCAAAUCCAUGCGUGUGUGCCA
rnacentral:tRNA from 1 species